rnacentral:rRNA from 1 species
GCAGUCGAGCGGACAGAUGGGAGCUUGCUCCCUGAUGUUAGCGGCGGACGGGUGAGUAACACGUGGGUAACCUGCCUGUAAGACUGGGAUAACUCCGGGAAACCGGGGCUAAUACCGGAUGGUUGUUUGAACCGCAUGGUUCAAACAUAAAAGGUGGCUUCGGCUACCACUUACAGAUGGACCCGCGGCGCAUUAGCUAGUUGGUGAGGUAACGGCUCACCAAGGCAACGAUGCGUAGCCGACCUGAGAGGGUGAUCGGCCACACUGGGACUGAGACACGGCCCAGACUCCUACGGGAGGCAGCAGUAGGGAAUCUUCCGCAAUGGACGAAAGUCUGACGGAGCAACGCCGCGUGAGUGAUGAAGGUUUUCGGAUCGUAAAGCUCUGUUGUUAGGGAAGAACAAGUACCGUUCGAAUAGGGCGGUACCUUGACGGUACCUAACCAGAAAGCCACGGCUAACUACGUGCCAGCAGCCGCGGUAAUACGUAGGUGGCAAGCGUUGUCCGGGAAUUAUUGGGCGUAAAGGGCUCGCAGGCGGUUUCUUAAGUCUGAUGUGAAAGCCCCCGGCUCAACCGGGGAGGGUCAUUGGAAACUGGGGAACUUGAGUGCAGAAGAGGAGAGUGGAAUUCCACGUGUAGCGGUGAAAUGCGUAGAGAUGUGGAGGAACACCAGUGGCGAAGGCGACUCUCUGGUCUGUAACUGACGCUGAGGAGCGAAAGCGUGGGGAGCGAACAGGAUUAGAUACCCUGGUAGUCCACGCCGUAAACGAUGAGUGCUAAGUGUUAGGGGGUUUCCGCCCCUUAGUGCUGCAGCUAACGCAUUAAGCACUCCGCCUGGGGAGUACGGUCGCAAGACUGAAACUCAAAGGAAUUGACGGGGGCCCCCCACAAGCGGUGGGAGCAUGUGGUUUAAUUCGAAGCAACGCGGAAGAACCUUUACCAGGUCUUGACAUCCUCUGACAAUCCUAGAGAUAGGACGUCCCCUUCGGGGGCAGAGUGACAGGUGGUGCAUGGUUGUCGUCAGCUCGUGUCGUGAGAUGUUGGGUUAAGUCCCGCAACGAGCGCAACCCUUGAUCUUAGUUGCCAGCAUUCAGUUGGGCACUCUAAGGUGACUGCCGGUGACAAACCGGAGGAAGGUGGGGAUGACGUCAAAUCAUCAUGCCCCUUAUGACCUGGGCUACACACGUGCUACAAUGGACAGAACAAAGGGCAGCGAAACCGCGAGGUUAAGCCAAUCCCACAAAUCUGUUCUCAGUUCGGAUCGCAGUCUGCAACUCGACUGCGUGAAGCUGGAAUCGCUAGUAAUCGCGGAUCAGCAUGCCGCGGUGAAUACGUUCCCGGGCCUUGUACACACCGCCCGUCACACCACGAGAGUUUGUAACACCCGAAGUCGGUGAGGUAACCUUUAGGAGCCAGCCG